rnacentral:rRNA from 1 species
GACGAACGCUGGCGGCGUGCUUAACACAUGCAAGUCGAACGUAAAGGCCCUGCUUUUGUGGGGUGCUCGAGUGGCGAACGGGUGAGUAACACGUGAGUAACCUUCCCUUGACUUUGGGAUAACUUCAGGAAACUGGGGCUAAUACCGGAUAGGAGCUCCUGCUGCAUGGUGGGGGUUGGAAAGUUUCGGCGGUUGGGGAUGGACUCGCGGCUUAUCAGCUUGUUGGUGGGGUAGUGGCUUACCAAGGCUUUGACGGGUAGCCGGCCUGAGAGGGUGACCGGCCACAUUGGGACUGAGAUACGGCCCAGACACCUACGGGAGGCAGCAGUGGGGAAUAUUGCACAAUGGGCGGAAGACUGAUGCAGCAACGCCGCGUGCGGGAUGACGGCCUUCGGGUUGUAAACCGCUUUCGCCUGUGACGAAGCGUGAGUGACGGUAAUGGGUAAAGAAGCACCGGCUAACUACGUG